rnacentral:rRNA from 1 species
CCGGCGGAACGGUUUGAGUAACACGUGGGUACCUGCCUGUAAGACUGGGAUAACUCCGGGAAACCGGGGCUAAUACCGGAUGGUUGUUUGACCGCAUGGUUCAAACAUAAAAGGUGGCUUCGGCUACCACUUACAGAUGGACCCGCGGCGCAUUAGCUAGUUGGUGAGGUAACGGCUCACCAAGGCAACGAUGCGUAGCCGACCUGAGAGGGUGAUCGGCCACACUGGGACUGAGACACGGCCCAGACUCCUACGGGAGGCAGCAGUAGGGAAUCUUCCGCAAUGGACGAAAGUCUGACGGAGCAACGCCGCGUGAGUGAUGAAGGUUUUCGGAUCGUAAAGCUCUGUUGUUAGGGAAGAACAAGUACCGUUCGAAUAGGGCGGUACCUUGACGGUACCUAACCAGAAAGCCACGGCUAACUACGUGCCAGCAGCCGCGGUAAUACGUAGGUGGCAAGGUUGUCCGGAAUUAUUGGGCGUAAAGGGCUCGCAGGCGGUUUCUUAAGUCUGAUGUGAAAGCCCCCGGCUCAACCGGGGAGGGUCAUUGGAAACUGGGGAACUUGAGUGCAGAAGAGGAGAGUGGAUCCACGUGUAGCGGUGAAAUGCGUAGAGAUGGGAAGAACCAGUUGGCCAAGCGAUCUUC